rnacentral:rRNA from 1 species
AACGAACGCUGGCGGUAUGCUUAACACAUGCAAGUCGAACGUUUUCUUCGGAAGACGUGGCAGACGGGUGCGUACAACAUAGGAACAUACCCUAAAGUGGGGAAUAACGCUCGGAAACGGGUGCUAAUACCCCAUACGCCCUACGGGGGAAAGCUUUAUGCGCUUUAGGAGUGGCCUAUGUCAGAUUAGGUAGUUGGUGUGGUAAAGGCGCACCAAGCCGAUGAUCUGUAGCUGAUUUGAGAGGAUGAUCAGCCACACUGGGACUGAGACACGGCCCAGACUCCUACGGGAGGCAGCAGUGGGGAAUAUUGGACAAUGGGGGAAACCCUGAUCCAGCAAUACCGCGUGAGUGAUGAAGGCCUUCGGGUUGUAAAGCUCUUUUUUUAGUGAGGAUGAUGACAGUAGCUAAAGAAUAAGCCCCGGCUAACUUCG